UACAGAGGGUGCAAGCGUUAAUCGGAAUUACUGGGCGUAAAGGGCGCGUAGGCGGUUAUGUGGGUGUGAUGUGAAAGCCUUGGGCUUAACCUGAGAAGUGCAUCGCAAACUGUAUAACUAGAGUAUAUGAGAGGGUGGCGGAAUUUCCGGUGUAGCGGUGAAAUGCGUAGAGAUCGGAAGGAACGUCAAUGGCGAAGGCAGCCACCUGGCAUAAUACUGACGCUGAGGCGCGAAAGCGUGAGGAGCGAACAGG
rnacentral:rRNA from 1 species